CUUGCUCAAACAAAAGAACAUGAAGGAUCAACUACUAACAUGUACAUACAUCAAAAUCCCCAAUUUCGAAACCCUAGAUCACAUCAAUCAAGCCAGAAGAAAUGAGCGAGAGGCCGGUGUCCGUGGGUCGACGAAGAGGUCUAUAAACGCGAAGUCAAAGCUCACAGAUGCAACGACCGCGUCGAAGAUGUCAUCUAUGGAAGAGCCUACUGAUCCCUUCGUCUACUUGGAUCUGGAUAAUGUUACUGUUAUGGAGAGUUAUCUGCAAGCAGAGUCAGUCCCAACUUCUUUUUGUAAUAAAAAUAUUACUAUCUCCUCCUGAAUUCAAUACUCUUGAUGAAACUAUUGCUAAUGAUCUAUUUGUUUUUUUUUCCAAUUUUUUACAUAGUUUUGUCACAAUGUUCAAUCCACACAUUAUACUCCUUUUUAUCUCUAAUAGAUUCAGAAGUCAUGUAAAGAAAUGAAGAAAAUGCCCCUGUUGCAGCAA